rnacentral:rRNA from 1 species
AGUAACACGUGGGUAACCGUCGCCCUCGAUGAUCGGGACAACCCGAGGAAACUCGGGCUAAUACCGGAUGUGCCCUACGGACAUAAGUCCGUCGGGGAAAGGAAGCUUCGGCCUCCGCAUCGGGAUGGGCCCGCGGCCCAUUAGCUUGUUGGUGAGGUAACGGCUCACCAAGGCGACGAUGGGUAGCUGGUCUGAGAGGACGAUCAGCCACACUGGGACUGAGACACGGCCCAG